GCCAGUGUGGUUUAGCGGUUUAAGCAUUGGACUAUGAUUCUGGAGGCCAGGGUUUGAAUCCCGGCUCAGCCA